CAAGGCUAUAGUAUAAGAGUACGUGCGAGUGCAUGAGAAAUGUAUAGACUGUUAGCAAUCAGAAUGGCUACUCAACAAGAGUAUGAGGACAUACUGCUGUACAAGACUGCUGCCAGCAAUGCUGGCCACAAGAAAUACAGAGACGGGCUUUCCACUAAUGACAAGAGAAGUAUAAGAGACAAAGUCAAGUUCAAAGAUAUGCUCUGCAGCAACAAUGCUUAUACCUGCUUGAGAAGGACAGCACUGGCAUGCAUAGAAUGAGAAGAGUUGUGGUGAAGCAAGAGGAGAAAAGCAGGAUACUAAACAUGUGCCACGAUGGACUGGAUGGAAUGCAUUUUGGGAGAGACAAGACCUAUGGAAAGGUUGCUCAGGAUUUCUACUGGAAAGGCCUACAUGCUGACGUCAUACAGCUCUGCAAGCACUGCGACAAAUGCCAACGAACGAAUCACCAACUGCAGAAGCCCAGAGCAGAACUACAUCCCAUCCCUGUGACAAAGGUCUGGUACAGAGUUGGUAUUGACUUAGUAGGACCUCUACCUGAAACAAGCUCUGGAAACAAGUACAUUAUCACGCUCUCAGACUAUUUCUAAGUGGCCUGAGGCUGCCCCACUCCCAUCAAAAUCAGCAGAAGGUGUAGCAAAAUUUCUGUUUGACACAUUUUGCAGGUAUGGGUGGCCAAAAGUGAUUCAAUCAGACCAAGGAAGAGAGUUUGUCAACGAAAUCAACACCCGACUUUUUCAGUUGACUGACAUACAGCACUGCGUAUCAAGUGCUUACCACCCACAAACAAAUGGCCUUGAUGAACGCUUCAACCAGACUCUAGUGAACACUCUCAAGAAGGUAAUCGAUUCUAGUACUGAUGACUGGGAUCAGCAUCUCUCUGCUGCUGUUUAUGCCUAUCGCAUAUCAAAACAGGCGUCAUCAAAGUACACACCCUUUUUCUUAAUGUUCAAUCGCCACCUGCGGAAAGCUGUUACUUUUGAUAUGGAUCAACAAGAUGGUGCCGACGCUAUAGAAGAUAGAGGAGAUGCUGACCAAUUGAGUGGAGAGGAGACUGAAAAUGAAGAAGACGGAGAAGACAUGGAUGGAAUUCUCCGAAGGUUGAUGGAAAUUCAUGAUCGCUGUCACCUCAAUGCCAAGGAGAACAUUGCUGCUGCAUGCACAGCAAAAACAGAAGCAGCAGUAUGACAACAAGCAUAACUCUUUGAAGAGUUAUCCAGUUGGCAGCAGUGUCAUGCUAAAGAAUAUGGCCAAUUCUCAUCGAAUGGGAGGGAAAGUGGACUGCACCUGGAAAGGUCCAUAUAACGCUUUCCCCAAGUACUGAGCUCCAGAUAGCACAAGUGUAUAGCCCAUUAAUUCAAUGCAAUGGGCUCUGUGGUGGCUCUCCAGCAGCAAGAGGGUGCUAACAACUGCGGACUAUUUAGCAUUGCUGCUGCAAUCACGCUGCUAUGAACGAUAAUGUGGAUUCUCUAGUGUUUGAUGAGGCCAAAAUGAGAGCACAUCUCAUUAAGUGCUUUGAGAAGGGAAAACUCUCACGGUUCCCUCGCACAAAGAAAGCGAUGCCCAAAAGACCAACACCACAAACCAUUGCCAUUACAAUAUACUGCAUGUGCAAGAGACCGGACUCUUUUGAGGAUAUGGUCAUGUGUGACAAAUUUAGUGAGUAGUAUCACUAUCGCUGUGCCAAAAUUCGCAAUGAACCAGUAGGUAAUUGGUUUUGUUCUGGUUGUAUCGAUUUGUGCACUUUUGGUUAUAU